GGAGUUUGCUGGACAGUCGCUGCUUUGCUUGCAAAGUGGAGGAAAGUCCGGGCUCUACAGGGCAGAGUGCCAGAUAACGUCUGGGCGGCGCGAGUCGACGGAAAGUGCAACAGAAAGUAUACCGCCUAAGGGCUCUUCGGAGUCACGGUAAGGUUGAAAUGGUGCGGUAAGAGCGCACCGCGUGGGUGGCAACAUUCCACGGCGAUGGAAAACCCCACUCAGAGCAAGACCAAAUAGGGAUCCUUAAGGUGCGGCCCGUACUGGAUCCGGGUAGGUCGCUAGAGGUGCAUGGUGACAUGCAUUCGAGACGAAUGACUGUUCACGACAGAACCCGGCUUAUAGGCAAACUCCCAAC
rnacentral:RNase_P_RNA from 2 species